UACAGCGGAAGAGGAGCACUGCCCAGGCAGGUAAUCAUGUGAAGCCGCAACUUCUAUACAUGUUACUGAUGGGGAGCAGUGCCGAGAUGAACUCAAUUUGCAGGAUUAAGUUUGUCGGUUGAACGGGCUGAAUCCCUUUAACUGUCACCAAGUGAUUGGUGAAGAGCUUCUGAGGUC
rfam:Vibrio shilonii AK1 1103207002029, whole genome shotgun sequence.